rnacentral:lncRNA from 1 species
CUGCGUCACCUUCACCGACGCCGUGGCUCAUCGGCGACGUGACCAUGAACCAGGCCGCCACGAACCCCGUCGGCACUAUCUUCGGUGAGAACUGCCAACUGACUGUCACCUGCUAAUUUCCCCUUUGUUUGUUUUGUUUAGGGGCAGUCUUUAUUUUGCAUGGUAAGGGCAGUCCUUCUGUUUGUUAAUCAAGUUUCUCAGGUUCAUGGGUUUGUGUCACGGCGUUUUGUGCUUGUGUUGCAUAUAUAUUUAACAGUAGUAUCGACAAUGUAGACAUGCCCAAAGCCUUGCAUCCUUGCCAUCUCAUUCUUCAGUUGUCAAAUGCUCAGUCAGCUAUUCAGAUCCCUGCAUCUUUUUUUCAAGUUUUUCCCCAUAUUGAUCUAUGUAUUAUGGUGAAUCCUUCAAUCCAAGAUGCCAUAAGACGAUAUAGAAGUUUGGGAUUAAUUCUUGGCUGAAACAUAUAAAAAAUACAAAUAUGUACAAGUUGUUGGAUGGAGGGUUGGCCCAGAAUUCUGCUAGCAGUCAGCACAGGAGAACCAGGACAGUGGCGGUGGAGCCUCCAGCGUAAGGGCACCGCUGUCGUCGUUCCCGCUCCAUAGACCACCAACUGGAUUCACCGCUGCCUGGAUGAAAGCAAGGAACCCAUCUAGAUUCGUCCGAUGUGUUCAAGAAAUCAACAGUGUUGUCAUACAUGACAGGCUGAUUAACAGGGUUAGUGGAUAAACACCCAUCUUGUUCAAAGUAAAAUAAUUUUCUAUUGGUACAUAUUUGUGUAUAUGAUGAGAGAUGAAAAAUCUGAGUUGUCAUGCUUGUGCAUUAGGAUGGUUCAGGAGUUUUAGCUGGCGCUUUUCAAGAUCAAUAAGGAGUGUUUGUUUGCUGAUCCAUUAAGUCCACAAUGCACGUGUGUACAGGAAUUUUCUGUUUGUAUUGUACAAAAAUGUCUUUUUGUUUUUUUUUCAUUCUAAUGUAAUUACUAUGGAGUCACUCCCACUCUUGUUUUUGGCAUAUUACUGGGACCCUGGAGAUAUAAAACACACUGUUUACCAUUCUGUAGGAACCAUAAGCAAUAUAUGGCAAAGACAUCUUCCUAAUUGUAGAAUCAUGCACGCUUUUUGGGCACAUACGUACAUAUAUCGUAAUAUGUAAUACUAACAAACAGAUGAUUUAACAAGCCAGAUCUACUUGAGCAAAUGUACCCGCCACUUUCUUGGGACAUUUAAUUGCCCAUAGAAUCGUGCCGGCUUUGAUAGCCGGGACUGGAAGGGACAUUAUCUGUCUUGUUAAAAGUCUUGAUCAUAUAUACUAAGGUCAUAGGACUCCACAUGCUACCAGUUUCUUAUGAAAAACAAUCUUCACAAAAACUGAUCCCCACCUACGUCGACUCACAUCCAAACCAUUGGCAUCCAGUUACCUCUUAUAUACAACCUCCACCUAAGCCUAGGACUGAUUACUUAGACCAGUAUUAUUCUUUUAUUAGAUAUAUAAAUAUGUGUGCAUAGGCAAAUAAUUGAUGUGGGAAUGAUGUUGAUACCUGGUACACAAUAUGAUCUCUGUUAAUACGAUAGUGCAUUUCCCUCAACAUUUUCCCUGUUCUUAGUGGUCUUUGAUCUUCUUUACACAAAACAGAAUGGAAUUCUUGGAUUUGAAGAAAUUUCCCUUGCAUCUCCUGGCAAGAAAAUUGACUGUACAUUCAGAACAUAAUCAUGGUAUUUGGAUGGAUAGUUUACCUUUAAAUAUGGUAGUAGAUUACAGAAUAAAUUCUACUAUGAAAAAGACACAUAAUAGAAAAGUCUGCACCAUACAGUGGCACUUAUACCUUGCAUCUCCCAUAUGAUAAUUUGUAGCAUGAAUAUUUGCUUAGAGUGAUUAGAUGGACCUAGAAGGAAUGUACAGCCACAGGCACAUUUUUGUAGAAGGUUAUAAAUUUGGAAAUAAAUUGUAGCGCCUGCUUUACUGUUAUCUUCCAUUUAAAUUAUAGCUUUUGAUCUUGUCAUCUUUACAUGUUGUUUAACAUACUAUGCAGCUUGACUUUGAUUCAAAGUGCAUGAACCUGAAUGCAGGCAUCAUUUUGACUGGAAGGCCUUUCUUUUUUCGUUCUUUGGGAUCAGCAAACAUCCUUGUGUAAUUCAAUACCUGGAUGGUUUUGGGCAACUUUAUAAUUUAGUAAACAAUACUAACACCACACUUAAUUGAAAUAUUUUGUGUGUUUCUUGUGCUUACCUUGCAAGACCUUAAAAACAAGAUGACAAAGAAUUUGGUAUACAUUUCCUAAUUAAAUGUCUGUCUUAUAUUGCAAUUUAUAUCAUUAUCAAUGAUUGUUUGAUGAGUUAAAUUUUUGUCUUAUAUUAUCAAUGAUUGUUUGAUGAAAUAUAUAUUACAUUUUCUAACAUAGUAAAGCUAUGUUUAGAAGUAUCCACUAAUUAACUUGUGAGGAGAUCAAAAUCAUGCUUACUCAAUAUCAUAAAUAAUGAAUGAACCUGUACAAUAAUCAGUUGGGUACCGUCUUUUAGUUUGAG